GUAGGUGAACCUGCGGAAGGAUCAUUAACACGUAUCCAACGUUAUCCACCCACCCCGGUCUCCUGUGUUUUCGAUGCCUUGCCUCGCAAGGUGCAACCAGCCCGUCGGCGCACGUGAUGUGCAUCACUCUCGGCCCCUCUUAUUGUCAUUCUGGUGUCCGCUGUACAGGCCUCACUGUUGACUACGAGACACACCCUACACUUACCCCACUCACCCUCCUUACACUAGUUGUCUACUUUAUGUUGCUCAUAGGUCUGCCAAUCCUUUGCUACCACAAUGGAUUGUCGCACACCCCUGGCACACGUUUACUUAUCUGAACGUUAAAAUACAACUCUUAGCAAUGGAUAUCUUGGUUCUC
rnacentral:misc_RNA from 1 species